rnacentral:tRNA from 1 species
GGGGCUAUAGCUCAGCUGGGAGAGCGCCCGCUUUGCACGCAGGAGGUCAGCGGUUCGAUCCCGCUUAGCUCCACCA